AUGGCCAAGUACCGGUGGAGCAGCUCCCUUGAUCGACGCUCAAUGCACUGGUUGUCGUGGGAGGCGCUAGCACAGCCGAAGGCAAAGGGAGGGAUGGGAUUCCGGGAUUUGGAGAUGUUCAAUACUGCUCUUCUUGGCAAGCACGGGUGGAGAUUGAUCACGAAUCCCGACACUCUUUGCGCACGGGUACUAAAAGGAAAAUAUUAUCCUUCAUGCGAGUUUCUGCAAGCCACUAUUCCGAAACAUGCUUCUGUCACUUGGCGAGCGAUAAUUCAUGGAAGGAGAGCUUUGAACUCCGGCCUGAUCAAACGUAUUGGAAAUGGAACGACGGUUAAUAUAUGGACGGACAAGUGGAUUCCG
rnacentral:rRNA from 1 species